rnacentral:rRNA from 1 species
GCCUACGGGGCGCAGCAGUAGGGAAUCUUCCACAAUGGACGAAAGUCUGAUGGAGCAACGCCGCGUGAGUGAAGAAGGGUUUCGGCUCGUAAAGCUCUGUUGGUAGUGAAGAAAGAUAGAGGUAGUAACUGGCCUUUAUUUGACGGUAAUUACUUAGAAAGUCACGGCUAACUACCUGCCAGCAGCCGCGGUAAGACGUAGGUGGCAAGCGUUGGCCGGAUUUAUUGGGCGGAAAGCGAGGGCAGGAGGUUCAAUAA